UACGGGGGGAGCAAGCGUUGUUCGGAUUUACUGGCGUAAAGGGCGCGUAGGCGGUCAGCACAAGUCAGUUGUGAAAUCUCCGGGCUUAACUCGGAAAGGUCAACUGAUACUGUGCGACUAGAGUGCAGAAGGGGCAACUGGAAUUCUCGGUGUAGCGGUGAAAUGCGUAGAUAUCGAGAGGAACACCUGCGGCGAAGGCGGGUUGCUGGGCUGACACUGACGCUGAUGCGCGAAAGCCAGGGGAGCAAACAGGGAUUAGAACCUACCGUAGUCAGUCCAAGA
rnacentral:rRNA from 1 species